GACGAACGCUGGCGGCGUGCUUAACACAUGCAAGUCGAACGGAAAGGCCCUGCUUUUGUGGGGUGCUCGAGUGGCGAACGGGUGAGUAACACGUGAGUAACCUGCCCUUGACUUUGGGAUAACUUCAGGAAACUGGGGCUAAUACCGGAUAGGAGCUCCUGCUGCAUGGUGGGGGUUGGAAAGUUUCGGCGGUUGGGGAUGGACUCGCGGCUUAUCAGCUUGUUGGUGGGGUAGUGGCUUACCAAGGCUUUGACGGGUAGCCGGCCUGAGAGGGUGACCGGCCAAAUUGGGAAUGAGAUACGGCCCAGAAUCCUACGGGAGGCAGGAGGGGGGAAGAAUGCACAAUGGGCGGAAGCCUGAUGCAGCAACGCCGCGGGCGGGAUGACGGCCUUCGGGUGGUAAACAGCUUUCGCCGGUGACGAAGCGUGAGUGACGGUAAUGGGGAAAGAAGCACCGGCUAACUACGU
rnacentral:rRNA from 1 species